rnacentral:rRNA from 1 species
AUCAAAAACAUCACCUCUAGCAUAACUAGUAUUAGAGGCACUGCCUGCCCAGUGACAAUCGUUAAACGGCCGCGGUAUCUUGACCGUGCAAAGGUAGCAUAAUCACUUGUUCUCUAAAUAAGGACUUGUAUGAAUGGCCACACGAGGGUUUUACUGUCUCUUACUCCCAAUCAGUGAAAUUGACCUCCCCGUGAAGAGGCGGGGAUAACACAAUAAGACGAGAAGACCCUAUGGAGCUUUAAUUAAUCAACUCAAAAAGCAUAAAAUAAUACCACCAAGGGAUAACAAAGCUUUACAUGAGCUGACAAUUUCGGUUGGGGUGACCUCGGAGCAUAAAAAACCCUCCGAGUGAUUAAAACUUAGGCCUACCAGCCAAAGUAUAACAUCACUUAUUGAUCCAAAAUUUUGAUCAACGGAACAAGUUACCCUAGGGAUAACAGCGCAAUCCUAUUCUAGAGUCCAUAUCGACAAUAGGGUUUACGACCUCGAUGUUGGAUCAGGACAUCCUAGUGGUGCAGCAGCUACUAAGGGUUCGUUUGUUCAACGAUUAAAGUCCUACGUGAUCUGAGU